rnacentral:lncRNA from 1 species
GUGGCUCAUGCCUGUAGUCCUAGCACUUUGGAAAGACAAGAUGGGUGGAUCAUUUGAGGUCAGGAGUUCGAGACCAGCCUGACCAACAUGGUGAAACCCCAUCUCUACUAAAAAUACAAAAAAUUAGCUGAGCGUGGUGGUGGGUGCCUGUAAUCCCAGCUACUCAGGAGGCCAAGGCAGGAGAAUCACUUGAACCCAGGAGGCGGAGGUUGCAGUGAGCUGAGAUCACGCCACUGCACUCCAGCCUGGGUGACAGAGUGAGACUUUGUCUCCAGAAAAAAAAAAAAAAAAAAAAAGAAGGAAUGGUGAUGACCCUCCUUUGGUGCAUCCAUCACAGCUCAUGUCUUCCAGAGAGCCUUCUAUAAAGCCUGGGAAUAAAACAGGCCACACAGACGCUGGGGAGGGAGAGCAUAGUGCCAGCGACCCACAGAGUUGGGGUGGGGAAAUGCUGCCUGCUCCGCCACUGAGGUGGCUGGGACCCUCGGCAAACCUCUGAGCCCUUCUGUAUAGCCUCAGUUUCUG